ACCCAGCUGACGAGUCCUAAAUAAGACGAAACGCGCGUCCUGGAU
rnacentral:hammerhead_ribozyme from 1 species